rnacentral:tRNA from 1 species
CCGCUCGUAGCUCAAUGGACAGAGCGUCGGUCUACGGAACCGAAGGUUGCAGGUUCGAAUCCUGCCGAGCGGG